rnacentral:RNase_P_RNA from 1 species
GCUGCGUUUCUUUGCUACACACGGCGAGCUUCACGGCCCGUCCUCGCAGCUCUGGGUUCCGACCAGAGCCGCGAGACCCUUUGCAAAUGAGAAAUUCGGAGGAAUCUUCAAACCACAACCCGCGUCGUCGUUCGUUUUCGCGCGUCGGCGCCGGUCCUGCCCGUGAGGGCCUGGUGUGAUCCUAGAUCACUUCUUACCCACACUUGCACUUGACAUCAGAAACAUCGGGUGAAGGGGCGGGGCUUGUGGUGACUUGUUGUCAUGGGCCUUGUCCUGAAGCCCUUGGGAGAGUCGGUGCGGAGAUUGUGUGUGAUGACACUUUAGUGCAAUACGCAGCAUACCUUGCUCUGUCUUCUCUUCGGAGGGAUGGAUGGUAUCAUUCGAUUCCGAUCAUUCUGGU